CCUACGGGUGGCAGCAGUGAGGAAUAUUGGUCAAUGGACGAGAGUCUGAACCAGCCAAGUAGCGUGAAGGAUGACUGCCCUAUGGGUUGUAAACUUCUUUUAUAUGGGAAUAAAACGUUCCACGUGUGGGAUUUUGUAUGUACCAUAUGAAUAAAGAUCGGCUAACUCCGUGCCAGCAGCCGCGGUAAUACGGAGGAUCCGGGCUUUAUCCGGUUUUAUUGGGUUUAAAGGGAGCGUAGGUGGUUUUUUAAGUCAGUUGUGAAAGUUUGCGGCUCAACCGUAAAAUUGCAGGUGAAACUGGCAGUCUUGAGUAUAGUAGAGGUGGGCGGAAUUCGUGGUGUAGCGGUGAAAUGCUUAGAGAUCACGAAGAACCCCGAUUGCGAAGGCAGUUCACUGGACUGUAACUGACACUGAUGCUCGAAAGUGUGGGGAUCAAACAGGAUUAGAUACCCUUGUAGUC
rnacentral:rRNA from 1 species